ACCCCUUUCCACGAAAUAUCAUUUACUGCAGUUGGGACACAACUGCGGGCAAUAAGACAGCUACGUCUACCCAUCCGUGAGUUGCUGCAAUCGUCGCAUUGAGCGGUUCAUAAAAAGCACGCUAUUUCAAACAUAUUCAACUGCAUGAUUGCGUGUUUUUUGAAAGGACAGACCGCACGUCAAAUUGAGUGAUUUAAUGAACUUUUUUAUAGUAGUGCAUACUGAAACCAUAGUAUACCACAUCCCGUUCUUUGGUGAAGCGAACCUCAACUGUCAAAGCGACAACCUGACGACAAGCCACGUGUGUCUAGCCAUAUUGCGCAGAAAUUAGCACGUGCAGCUCACACGGGCUGGAGCAAAAAAGAAAUCACUCGUCGUCUUCCACUUUGUGCCUACUGGGUGGACAUCUCCAGUUGAAGGAGGGGAACUUCAGCUGAAGGAUAUCAAACGACAAGAAUGGCGUUGCCUUAUCGGUUCCUGACUGCUCUUUUAGUGGUCCUUUCUGGGGAAGCUGCUAGAGUUACAUACAGGACCGUGGAUACAGCUGACGGACAAUGCCUUUACGACGACUACGCGCUCGAUGAUAACGAAGAGUACCAGGCGGAUUCCUGCGAAAUCGUCAAGUGCAAAGCCUCCUCAAAAGUACUGGAAGUUACGACAUGCUACGUCCCGCCCGGAUGUGAACCACAAUAUCGAGGUUGGUAUCCUGACUGCUGCGAGCAAAUGGAAUGCACUGAAGAAUAAACACGCGCUGUAGAAACACAAUA